GGUUAAGCGACUAAGCGUACACGGUGGAUGCCCUGGCAGUCAGAGGCGAUGAAGGACGUGCUAAUCUGCGAUAAGCGUCGGUAAGGUGAUAUGAACCGUUAUAACCGGCGAUUUCCGAAUGGGGAAACCCAGUGUGAUUCGUCACACUAUCAUUAACUGAAUCCAUAGGUUAAUGAGGCGAACCGGGGGAACUGAAACAUCUAAGUACCCCGAGGAAAAGAAAUCAACCGAGAUUCCCCCAGUAGCGGCGAGCGAACGGGGAGCAGCCCAGAGCCUGAAUCAGUGUGUGUGUUAGUGGAAGCGUCUGGAAAGGCGUGCGAUACAGGGUGACAGCCCCGUACACAAAAAUGCACAUACUGUGAGCUCGAUGAGUAGGGCGGGACACGUGGUAUCCUGUCUGAAUAUGGGGGGACCAUCCUCCAAGGCUAAAUACUCCUGACUGACCGAUAGUGAACCAGUACCGUGAGGGAAAGGCGAAAAGAACCCCGGCGAGGGGAGUGAAAAAGAACCUGAAACCGUGUACGUACAAGCAGUGGGAGCACGCUUAGGCGUGUGACUGCGUACCUUUUGUAUAAUGGGUCAGCGACUUAUAUUCUGUAGCAAGGUUAACCGAAUAGGGGAGCCGAAGGGAAACCGAGUCUUAACUGGGCGUUAAGUUGCAGGGUAUAGACCCGAAACCCGGUGAUCUAGCCAUGGGCAGGUUGAAGGUUGGGUAACACUAACUGGAGGACCGAACCGACUAAUGUUGAAAAAUUAGCGGAUGACUUGUGGCUGGGGGUGAAAGGCCAAUCAAACCGGGAGAUAGCUGGUUCUCCCCGAAAGCUAUUUAGGUAGCGCCUCGUGAAUUCAUCUCCGGGGGUAGAGCACUGUUUCGGCAAGGGGGUCAUCCCGACUUACCAACCCGAUGCAAACUGCGAAUACCGGAGAAUGUUAUCACGGGAGACACACGGCGGGUGCUAACGUCCGUCGUGAAGAGGGAAACAACCCAGACCGCCAGCUAAGGUCCCAAAGUCAUGGUUAAGUGGGAAACGAUGUGGGAAGGCCCAGACAGCCAGGAUGUUGGCUUAGAAGCAGCCAUCAUUUAAAGAAAGCGUAAUAGCUCACUGGUCGAGUCGGCCUGCGCGGAAGAUGUAACGGGGCUAAACCAUGCACCGAAGCUGCGGCAGCGACGCUUAUGCGUUGUUGGGUAGGGGAGCGUUCUGUAAGCCUGUGAAGGUGUGCUGUGAGGUAUGCUGGAGGUAUCAGAAGUGCGAAUGCUGACAUAAGUAACGAUAAAGCGGGUGAAAAGCCCGCUCGCCGGAAGACCAAGGGUUCCUGUCCAACGUUAAUCGGGGCAGGGUGAGUCGACCCCUAAGGCGAGGCCGAAAGGCGUAGUCGAUGGGAAACAGGUUAAUAUUCCUGUACUUGGUGUUACUGCGAAGGGGGGACGGAGAAGGCUAUGUUGGCCGGGCGACGGUUGUCCCGGUUUAAGCGUGUAGGCUGGUUUUCCAGGCAAAUCCGGAAAAUCAAGGCCGAGGCGUGAUGACGAGGCACUACGGUGCUGAAGCAACAAAUGCCCUGCUUCCAGGAAAAGCCUCUAAGCAUCAGGUAACAUCAAAUCGUACCCCAAACCGACACAGGUGGUCAGGUAGAGAAUACCAAGGCGCUUGAGAGAACUCGGGUGAAGGAACUAGGCAAAAUGGUGCCGUAACUUCGGGAGAAGGCACGCUGAUACGUAGGUGAAGCGACUUGCUCGUGGAGCUGAAAUCAGUCGAAGAUACCAGCUGGCUGCAACUGUUUAUUAAAAACACAGCACUGUGCAAACACGAAAGUGGACGUAUACGGUGUGACGCCUGCCCGGUGCCGGAAGGUUAAUUGAUGGGGUUAGCGCAAGCGAAGCUCUUGAUCGAAGCCCCGGUAAACGGCGGCCGUAACUAUAACGGUCCUAAGGUAGCGAAAUUCCUUGUCGGGUAAGUUCCGACCUGCACGAAUGGCGUAAUGAUGGCCAGGCUGUCUCCACCCGAGACUCAGUGAAAUUGAACUCGCUGUGAAGAUGCAGUGUACCCGCGGCAAGACGGAAAGACCCCGUGAACCUUUACUAUAGCUUGACACUGAACAUUGAGCCUUGAUGUGUAGGAUAGGUGGGAGGCUUUGAAGUGUGGACGCCAGUCUGCAUGGAGCCGACCUUGAAAUACCACCCUUUAAUGUUUGAUGUUCUAACGUGGACCCGUGAUCCGGGUUGCGGACAGUGUCUGGUGGGUAGUUUGACUGGGGCGGUCUCCUCCUAAAGAGUAACGGAGGAGCACGAAGGUUGGCUAAUCCUGGUCGGACAUCAGGAGGUUAGUGCAAUGGCAUAAGCCAGCUUGACUGCGAGCGUGACGGCGCGAGCAGGUGCGAAAGCAGGUCAUAGUGAUCCGGUGGUUCUGAAUGGAAGGGCCAUCGCUCAACGGAUAAAAGGUACUCCGGGGAUAACAGGCUGAUACCGCCCAAGAGUUCAUAUCGACGGCGGUGUUUGGCACCUCGAUGUCGGCUCAUCACAUCCUGGGGCUGAAGUAGGUCCCAAGGGUAUGGCUGUUCGCCAUUUAAAGUGGUACGCGAGCUGGGUUUAGAACGUCGUGAGACAGUUCGGUCCCUAUCUGCCGUGGGCGCUGGAGAACUGAGGGGGGCUGCUCCUAGUACGAGAGGACCGGAGUGGACGCAUCACUGGUGUUCGGGUUGUCAUGCCAAUGGCACUGCCCGGUAGCUAAAUGCGGAA
rnacentral:rRNA from 1 species